ACAUGCAAGUCGAGCGGACAGAAGGGAGCUUGCUCCCGGAUGUUAGCGGCGGACGGGUGAGUAACACGUGGGUAACCUGCCUGUAAGACUGGGAUAACUCCGGGAAACCGGAGCUAAUACCGGAUAGUUCCUUGAACCGCAUGGUUCAAGGAUGAAAGACGGUUUCGGCUGUCACUUACAGAUGGACCCGCGGCGCAUUAGCUAGUUGGUGGGGUAAUGGCUCACCAAGGCGACGAUGCGUAGCCGACCUGAGAGGGUGAUCGGCCACACUGGGACUGAGACACGGCCCAGACUCCUACGGGAGGCAGCAGUAGGGAAUCUUCCGCAAUGGACGAAAGUCUGACGGAGCAACGCCGCGUGAGUGAUGAAGGUUUUCGGAUCGUAAAGCUCUGUUGUUAGGGAAGAACAAGUGCGAGAGUAACUGCUCGCACCUUGACGGUACCUAACCAGAAAGCCACGGCUAACUACGUGCCAGCAGCCGCGGUAAUACGUAGGUGGCAAGCGUUGUCCGGAAUUAUUGGGCGUAAAGGGCUCGCAGGCGGUUUCUUAAGUCUGAUGUGAAAGCCCCCGGCUCAACCGGGGAGGGUCAUUGGAAACUGGGAAACUUGAGUGCAGAAGAGGAGAGUGGAAUUCCACGUGUAGCGGUGAAAUGCGUAGAGAUGUGGAGGAACACCAGUGGCGAAGGCGACUCUCUGGUCUGUAACUGACGCUGAGGAGCGAAAGCGUGGGGAGCGAACAGGAUUAGAUACCCUGGUAGUCCACGCCGUAAACGAUGAGUGCUAAGUGUUAGGGGGUUUCCGCCCCUUAGUGCUGCAGCUAACGCAUUAAGCACUCCGCCUGGGGAGUACGGUCGCAAGACUGAAACUCAAAGGAAUUGACGGGGGCCCGCACAAGCGGUGGAGCAUGUGGUUUAAUUCGAAGCAACGCGAAGAACCUUACCAGGUCUUGACAUCCUCUGACAACCCUAGAGAUAGGGCUUUCCCUUCGGGGACAGAGUGACAGGUGGUGCAUGGUUGUCGUCAGCUCGUGUCGUGAGAUGUUGGGUUAAGUCCCGCAACGAGCGCAACCCUUGAUCUUAGUUGCCAGCAUUUAGUUGGGCACUCUAAGUGACUGCCGGUGACAACCGGAGGAAGGUGGGGAUGACGUCAAUCAUCAUGCCCCUUAUGACUGGGCUA
rnacentral:rRNA from 1 species